rnacentral:rRNA from 1 species
ACGGAGGGGGCUAGCGUUGUUCGGAAUUACUGGGCGUAAAGCGCACGUAGGCGGCUUUGUAAGUUAGAGGUGAAAGCCCGGGGCUCAACUCCGGAAUUGCCUUUAAGACUGCAUCGCUAGAAUUGUGGAGAGGUAAGUGGAAUUCCGAGUGUAGAGGUGAAAUUCGUAGAUAUUCGGAAGAACACCGGUGGCGAAGGCGGCUUCUUGGCCGUUACUGACGCUGAGGCGCGAAAGCCAGGGGAGCGAACGGGA